GGCAGAGUGGCCUAGUGGGUAGAGUGCUAGCCUGCGAUUUGGGAGACCUGGGUUCUAGUCCUGGCUUUGUCG
rnacentral:tRNA from 1 species